CAGGGGAGGGGGGCACUAAAGCACCAAGAAAAGUCUGUUCCCUUUAACCAAAUGCUGAGGGAAAGGAAGAUAGAAUAACAUGGAACCUUUCUGGCACUACAUGUUUACUCCAGCCAAACCCCGGUAGCCCCACACCACCCCGGACACAGGUGCUGCACUCCGACAAAAGAGGGACAUGCUCGGUCCCUCCUCAGCUGCAAACAGAAUUGUUCUGACUGUUAAUGACAAAUGAUUUGUAACAUCUUAUGGCAUUUUUUCUUCUUAGAUUACAGCGUCAGAGCCAUGCUAAAGAUAAUGAAAUCAAGAACCUUAAAGAGCAACUUUCUAUGAAAAGAUCUCAGUGGGAAGUGGAGAAGCAUAAUCUGGAAAGCACGAUUAAAACGUACUUAAACAAACUGAAUGCAGAAACUAGCAGGGCUUUAACAGCUGAGAUAACCAAUCUUGAUGUACAAUAAAAUUCAAAUUUUUGGAGAGCUCAUUGAUAUUAAAAUCAUCACAAACCUUCUCACCUUUGUCAUGGGUAAGGUCUAUUUUUAACAGAGUACUCUGAAACCCAGAGCUCAACAAUCAAGGGUUGAUAUCUGCACCAAAAAUCCCGGAGAGUGAUGUAUUGGAGUAUUAAAUUUAACUGGGGAAAGAAAACAACCUCAGAUUACCUUAAGAACUCAAGUUUGUAGACUUUUUCACUGCUUUUAAUUGGAAAGUUUCUACUUAGAUUAUUAAUUUUAGAAACACUUAACGCUGUCCAAGAGUAUAGUAAGCUACUUUCAGUGAAUAUUGAGUGAUCCAUAGAAAAAAACAAAGGCCAAAUGGCCAUGCAUCAAUAAUACUUGGAGAGACAUCAGACUAGAUGACCUCCAAGCCCCAUUUGGGUGGCAUAGUCCUAUAUGGUCUCAUUGUUUUCUUACUCCUUCAUCAAUUAAAAAAUAAAAAUUAAAUA